CCACAAUAUGUCGUGCUCGGGCCGGGCCGGACCAAUGGGCCAAUAUUCUUAGGCCCAGCCUGAUCCGUUAUUCUAACGUGCUCGGAUCGUGCCGGGCCACUAACGGGCUUGGGCCGUGCCGGACCGCUUUUAAGCGUGUCGGGCCUGUGCCGUGCUCGUGCUUAGCGGCCCGUUUGCCACCUCUAUCUAUAACUCUGUAUGCACGCAUGCCUGUGACUUAUCAUAUAAGCUUGCUUAUAAAUAUUGGGUGCUACUUGAACUUUUUGUUGUCUUGGUGGCAAAAAAAUAAUCACUGCUCAAGUUACUAUGGUCCUCCAAAAUCUGCACAAAUUAAUUUACAUAUGCAGGAGACAUUAAUGAGUCAGUUAUUAUCCUCUCCUUGGCUGUUAGUUGGCCUCAGUUAUCGUUGGCUUUCACUCUCAACCAUUGUCAACAUAUCUAAUAGCUAAUAAAACUCCACAUCAGCUAACAACACCUAACGCCAUCCACAAUCUCCUCCUUUUGCCCCUUCACCGUCUUCCUCCCCUUCAUCUCUUGCACACUCUGUGACACCCGAAUCCUGCACUUACCAUUAAAUCCAUGAAACCUGAAACAAUGACCAAGAGAGAAUAAAACAGAGACAUAUCUUGGAGCAUUAUUCCAGCCAAUACAAACCACUUCUAAUAAACUACAAAUUUGUCAAACUGAAAUUAGUAAUAAAUGAUUUGAAGACAACCCACGGUCAUCUUUUGCAGAUCACCGCCCAUCUUGUCAUUCAUCUGUGCAAACCAAUAUGCUAUCAGAAUUUUUACCCUGCAGCCGGCGUUAAGCAUUGUUAACUAUUGGGUGUAAAAAUUCUGCAUUUGUUAUAGAUUUUGCUGAUGUGGAGUUUUAUUAGUCCUUAUAUAUGUUAUCAACUGUUUUUUUUUUUUUUUUUUUGGAGAAUGGUGAUCAACUGUUGAGAGUAAAAGCCAAGGAUAAUCAAAGCCAACUGACAGCAGAGAAGAGAAUCCGGAUCCUUCUAACAAGUUGGGCACAGGAGACGGUUACACCCCAGGCGGCGGAACUACAAUAGGGCUAGCUUGAGGGGUCCAGUCUUAACUCGAUUACUGGAAACCAGCCAACUACCCCCUCCCCCGCGGCCUUCUUCCAGAAAAAAACAAAUCAGCAAGGAUCGGUUAUCCAUUAGGGGAGCAUGGAUCAAACUGUUAUUAUUUAAGUCCUCACGCUCAGAAAAGCAUCAACAAGCUAACAACCGGCAUGGUAUCUUUGUAAUUCGUAUUUGUCCUCUGUGCGUUAGUCAAGUAGGCCUACUCGAUCUCUCUCUGUGAUUUUAGCACUCUACUAUCUCAUGUAUUCUAUUAAUUGCACUUCAAAUAAAAAUGUACUGCAAUUGGUACAGCGGAGUACUUCCCUACCAAAUUUGGCUUCGAUGUUCAAACAGCGACACAAAAAUAAAAAAUUAAUUAAAAUUUGGGUAAAUAAAAAUAAGACCAAUUACCAUUUUAUUUUUUCUCU